rnacentral:lncRNA from 1 species
CGCCGCGCCCAAGGGUCGACCGGGCCGGCGGCGGCCCCGCUAACGUAGAGCCCCUUUUGCCAGCCGUCCGGCCUGCCCCGUCUCCCCGGGGGCCGCAGGGAACGAAACGACGAGGAGGACAUGGUACUGGACAGAAUUCUGCUCUGUUGGGACUUUCUCUUGCCUACCUGGUCACACUGAGUGCUGUCAGCACAGGCAGAACUUCUCCUUGGACACAGAGAUGUUGUUCAUGUCAAAGGUGAAUCACAGGACACAGUGGAUCAGGAUGACACUUGGAUAUCCACGGAGGACGUGACAAGAACCCUUGAUGAAAAUAGAGAAGAUGGCAAUUAGCAUGACUGAGGCUAAAGAACUUGAAAGCUGUCAGAGGUUAUCAUCCAUGCUCAUCGGAAACAAAGUGAACACAAGGUUGCCUUGCCUCAUCAUACUGCCGAGAAAUGCUGUGGUGAAACUCCACCCCCGUGUUGAAGCUGACUUGGAUUCCGUGUCUGAGAAGGCCUGAUUCA